UUUCUAGAGAGAGAGAGAGAGAGAGAGAGAGAGAGAGAGAGAGAGAGAGAGAGAGAGAGAGAGAGAGAGAGAGAGAGAGAGAGAGAGCAGCCGUAGUGAGUGUUAAUAGCCAAAAGUCUCGUUUUAGAGGCUUGAAUUAAAAAAAAAAACAUAUAUUUUUGUUCUCUUUAAAAGACUAUCAUUAAUAAUAUUUGUGUUCCCCCGAGCGUCUGUCACCGUUUGUAUAAUAAAAUGUUAAAAUAUACUGUAAGGUCACUAUAAA